GGAGCAAAGUCUGAGGGCAGGUGAUAAGAGCCGCGGGACCCGGGGGACUCGGAGCAGACGGCUCCUCCCGGAAGAGCCCGGAAAUCAGCUCCUUGGGAAACAGCACAUCUUACUAAGUUCAGCCUAUUACGGAAGUGCUUCUCUGGAGCACCAGCCCGGUGGCAAAGUCAUUGUCUUUAUUCUGUGCUCCCAGGUGUGCACCUACAAGGACGGAGAGAA